ensembl:misc_RNA 7SK 7SK RNA
GGGUGGGAGGGCAAUUGGGCUGCAAUAUGUCACCCUUCUGAUCACCAGGGUUGAUUCAGCUGAACUGGCUGGCUAGGCAAGUGUCCCCAUCCUCCCUCAUUGCUCCAUGUGCAUCCCUCCUGAAGCUGCACAUUAGGUCAAAGGGGACCUGGUACAAGAAGACUACUCUUCAAUCAAGGUUACAUGAGUAGCUGCAUUCCUCUGCUAGAACUUCCAAACAAGCUCUUAAGCAAUGCAAAACCCUAGGCCGUCCCCAAACCUACUGACUCAGAAACUCUGAAGGUAAAGU